GCGCUUUAGGGAUGAACCGGUUCCUUAUAUUUAAUAUCCAUCUCUCACUUUGUCAGUUGCCUUUUUGUGUGGUUUGCUGAUCAUUAUAAGAUGGAAAAUGG